UGCCAGCAGCCGCGGUAAUACGGAGGGUGCAAGCGUUGUUCGGAAUCACUGGGCAUAAAGAGCACGUAGGCGGCUAAGUCAGUCUGGUGUGAAAGCCCCCGGCUCAACCGGGGAAUUGCAUCGGAUACUGCUUGGCUUGAGGACGGUUGGGGUGAGUGGAACUCCUGGUGGAGCGGUGAAAUGCGUAGAUAUCAGGAGGAACACCAGUGGCGAAAGCGACUCACUGGGCCGUCUCUGACGCUGAGGUGCGAAAGCUAGGGUAGCGAACGGGAUUAGAUA
rnacentral:rRNA from 1 species